ACGAAAUACAAGAAGAAGAGUUGAUAUGAUUUUUUGCGCCUUCAUAAAUAUAUUGACAUUGAGGUUUUUUUUUUUUUUUUUUUUUUU
rnacentral:ribozyme from 1 species